rnacentral:rRNA from 1 species
AGCAGCCGCGGUAAUUCCAGCUCCAAUAGCGUAUAUUAAAGUUGUUGCAGUUAAAAAGCUCGUAGUUGAAUUUCGGGGUCAGUAGAUUGGUCAUGCCUCCGGUAUGCACUGGUCUUACUGGCUCCUCCUUCCUGAUGAACCGUAAUGCCAUUAAUUUGGUGUUGCGGGGAGACUGGACUGUUACUUUGAAAAAAUUAGAGUGUUUAAAGCAGGCUAACGCUUGAAUACAUUAGCAUGGAAUAAUGAAAUAGGACGUUCGAUCUUAUUUUGUUGGUUUCUAAGAUUGACGUAAUGAUUAAUAGGGAUAGUUGGGGGCAUUAGUAUUCAAUUGUCAGAGGUGAAAUUCUUGGAUUUAUUGAAGACUAACUACUGCGAAAGCAUUUGCCAAGGAUGUUUUCAUUAAUCAAGAACGAAAGUUAGGGGAUCGAGGACGAUCAGAUACCGUCGUAGUCUUAACCAUAAACUAUAGCCGACUAGGGAUCGGAUGAUGUUAAUUUUUAAUGACUCAUUCGGCGUCCG